AAAUAGAAAAACAUUCCAUCCUUGUGGAUAGGAAGAAUCAAUAUCAUGAAAAUGGCUAUAAUGCCUGAAGUAAUUUAUAGCUUCAAUGCUAUUCCCAUUAAACCACUAUUGACAUUCUUCACAGAAUGAGAAAAAAACUAUUUUAGAUUUC